rnacentral:pre_miRNA from 1 species
AUGUUAAUCACCUGGGAAUCUUAUUAAAAUGCAGAUUCUGACUCACUAGGCCUGCAGCGUGGCCUGAGAUUCUGCAUUUCUAAGAAGCUCCCGGGUGAUGCUGAU